rnacentral:lncRNA from 1 species
UUGAAAUUAUUCUUUUAUUUUCAGUAUGGUCCUAUCCAAUUUGGUCAUUUUUUAUAGGGUAAAAUAUAUUGAUCAUUAAUCACUCAUACACUACUAAAACACCUGAAUUUAAGCAAUUAAGACUACUAAGUGUAAACUAAUUUCCGGUUGGUUUGGAAUUGGCUCAUGGCCGGUUCCAACGUAAGCGCAGCGCCUCUAGUCGAUAUUCCUUUCGUUAGAGCAUCUUCUGUAGUCGUAGGAGCCGGUAUCCUUGCCAGUCCAGGCCACUUGGUAAUUGUAGACACAUAACAGUUUCUCAUCCAGACACUCCAGAUCGAUUGUGGAGAAUUCCAAAUUUUGAUCGUUCUCUUAAUCGUUGCCACCAUAUCCAUCAAUCGUAAAUCCUUGAGCCCUAGUCCAGUACCCUCCAUCUUUAGUUUGCCCAUUAACUUCCAACCAAUCCCCUUCUGACCGUCCCACAAAAAGCCAUAGACGAUAUUUUUUUCAGCAUCUAAAACCUUUUUAGGAAGGAGGAACCCUUGAAACCAGUAGUUCAGACGACCAUAGAGGACCCAUUGAAGGGAAGUUUAAAUCGAAAAUGAAAGAUACCUCAAACAGAACCCUAUUUAAAUUCAGUGAUUGUAAUAACACCAAACGUCAUAACAUAAGGAAGAAAAAUGUGAGAAAAAAAGGAAAAUGAUCU